AGAGUUUGAUCCUGGCUCAGGAUGAACGCUAGCGGCAGGCUUAACACAUGCAAGUCGAGGGGCAGCAUAAUGGAUAGCAAUAUCUAUGGUGGCGACCGGCGCACGGGGUGCGUAACGCGUAUGCAACCUACCUUUAACAGGGGGGAUAACACUGAGAAAUUGGUACUAAUACCCCAUAAUAUCAUAGAAGGACAUCUUUAUGGUUGUAAAUUCCGUAUGGUUAGAGAUGGGCAUGCGUUGUAUUAG
rnacentral:rRNA from 1 species